UACGUAGGGACCAAGCGUUGUCCGGAAUCAUUGGGCGUAAAGAGCGUGUAGGCGGCUUGUUAAGUCUUGCGUGAAAUCUCGGGGCUCAACCCCGAGCGGUCGUAAGAAACUGGCAGGCUAGAGUGCGGGAGAGGAGAGUGGAAUUCCUGGUGUAGCGGUGAAAUGCGCAGAUAUCAGGAAGAACACCCGUGGCGAAGGCGGCUCUCUGGAACGCAACUGACGCUGAGACGCGAAAGCGUGGGGAGCAAACAGG
rnacentral:rRNA from 1 species